UGGCAGUAAACCCGUAGAUCCGAACUUGUGUUGUGCACUCGAUAACACAGUUCGUUUCUCGGGUACACUGCUGU
rnacentral:pre_miRNA from 1 species